CUUCACCGACCCCAGCCACAACGGCCGGCCCACCGGCCGCCCCUCCCCGUAUGUGGCCAGCAGCGCCUGGGCCUC
rfam:Streptomyces mobaraensis NBRC 13819 = DSM 40847 contig108, whole genome shotgun sequence.